AUUGAACGCUGGCGGCAGGCCUAACACAUGCAAGUCGAACGAGUGGCGGACGGGUGAGUAAUGUCUGGGAAACUGCCUGAUGGAGGGGGAUAACUCCUGGACACGGUAGCUAAUACCGCAUACCAUCGGAUGUUCCCCGAGUGGAUUAGCUAGUAGGUGGGGUAAAGGCUCACCUAGGCGACGAUCCCUAGCUGGUCUGAGAGGAUGACGAUGCGCAGUGGAACGGAGCCACGGUCCAGACCCGUACGGGAGGCAGCAGUUGGGAAUAUGGCAAAAUGGGCGCAAGCCUGGUGCAGGCAUGCCGCGUGUAUGAAGAAGGCCUUCGGGUUGUAAAGGACGUUGUGCGGGGCGGCGUGUCCCGCAGAAGAUGCACAGGCUAAUUCCGUGCUCGCAGCCGCGGUAAUAC
rnacentral:rRNA from 1 species